rnacentral:lncRNA from 1 species
UUUUUUUUUUUUUUUUUUUUGCCAUUUAGAUGUUUUAAAUGUUAUUCCCAUCAAUCUGAGAGAAGAGUCCCCAAGAUCCAAAAAAUGGGAAAUUCCCAUUUAAUAUUUUAUCAUAGGAACUACUACAAUUCAAAAUUUUAUUCUCAGCAUGUUAAUCAUCAAUAGUUUUUUUUUUUUUAGCAAAUUAGGUUUGUCGAAUGAGUGUCUAAUAGAUACAUAACUCGUGAUAUCGAAAGGUGUUUUAAGCGUUAAUUUUAAUCAAUAUAAAAUUGAACAAAGAGUGUCCAAAUAUAAAAUUUUAUUGUUUUUUUGGUGGGGGUGAACUAAUAUUCAUGGGAAACACGUUAAGAAAAUCCCUUAAUAUAUAUAUAUAUAUAUAUAUAUGAAUACGUGAUCCAUAGCCAAUAGCCAUAUUUUGUUGCGGGGCCUUUGAUUAAAUGAAAUAAAUAACCAAAUUAGACGAAACUGCUUGGAAUCCAAAUCUUACCGGCCGCGACAAGGAAAGACUAACAAGACAGGCCCACUUGCAAUGCCAACAAGAAAUUUUUGACUAAUCCCACCCCUAAUGGUAAUAGUACUCUCUAUGGAGGCGGGGGGGGGGGGGGGGGGAGCCGUUUGUAGGGGUUUUAAAAAUCGGUUUAUAGCCGCUGGAAUUGAUAAGAAUUUCCAAGCAUUUUCCUCUCAGCGUGCACCAUCCAUUCCAUUCCUGGGAGUUCACACUCUACAGACAGGCCAUGAGCAUUCAACUUCUCCAUUGUAAUUUGUAAUCCUCCUCCUUCAAUCACCCCUGAAAAUGUCCGAAACCACCCAAUGGUCUUCCCAGCUCACCUUUCUGAUUUUCACCAUCUUCUUCCUCUCCUUGCCUUUCCUUGGCAACUCACAAACUACCAAAACCAAUCCAGAAGAACAGACCAUUCUGCUCAAACUCAAACAGCAGUGGCUGAAUCCGCCCUCCCUGUCCCACUGGACCUCAUCAUCAGACCACUGCACCUGGCCAGAGAUCAACUGCACAGGUGGAUCAGUCACAGAACUCAACGUCUCCAAUUUGGCAAUCACAGAAACAAUCCCAUCAUUUAUCUGUGACCUCAAGAACCUCACAGUUCUCGAUCUCAAAAACAAUUUCAUCCCCGGCUCCUUCCCUACAGUUCUCUACAACUGCUCCAAGCUCGAAUACCUUGACCUGUCUCAGAAUUUGUUCGUUGGCACUAUUCCGGAUGAUAUUGACAGGCUAUCCCCAAGCACCCUCCAGUGCCUUAUACUUGAAGCCAACAAUUUCACUGGCGACAUCCCUCCAGCUAUUGGGAAGCUAACGGGGCUUAAAAGCCUUUACGCCGGAACAAACCUGUUUAAUGGUUCUUUCCCAGCAGAGAUUGGCGAUUUGCUGAAUCUUGAAGAGCUGGCCUUGAGUUUUAAUGGAUUUGUCCCACAACCCAUACCCUCGAGUUUCACUCGGUUAAAAAAGUUGAGAUUUUUAUGGAUGUUUCAGACUAAUUUGAUUGGAGAGAUCCCACAAGACAUUGGGAACAUGACGGCUUUGGAAUCCUUGAACUUGGCAGAUAAUGAUCUCAGUGGAAAUAUCCCUGGGGGACUGUUUCAGCUGAAAAAUCUGAGCAUUCUCUCUCUUUACAAGAACAGGCUGGUCGGGUCAAUACCAUCAUCAAUUGAGGCCUUGAAUCUGGAGCAAAUUGACCUGUCUAAUAACAGCUUAACGGGGAAAAUACCGGAUGAGUUUGGCAAAUUGACAAACUUAACACUGCUAGCUCUGUUUUUCAAUGAAUUAUCAGGCGAAGUACCUACUAGUUUGGGCAUGUUGCCAUCACUAGUAGACAUUAAAUUGUUCUACAAUAAUCUAUCAGGUCAGUUGCCACCAGAUUUUGGGAGACACUCGAAGCUCAGUAGCUUUCAGGUUUCAGCCAACAAUUUCACUGGAAAUUUGCCACAGGAUUUGUGCAAGAACGGUGUGCUACUUGGUGUGGUUGCUUUUGGGAACAGUCUUACAGGAGAAUUACCACCAUCCCUUGGGAACUGUGACAGCAUGCAGGUUGUACAGCUUCAAGGUAAUCAAUUUUCAGGCCAAAUUCCGGAUGGUUUGUGGACAACAAAUUUGACAACUUUGUUGAUACAGAAUAACUCAUUUACUGGCCAGCUACCGGACAAAGUUGCACCAGGUUUGUCAAUUCUUGACAUCAGUAACAAUCAGUUUUCAGGUGAAAUUCCAGCUGGAGUGUCAUCUUGGAAUAAUUUAAGGGAGUUUAAGGCAAGCAAUAACCUGUUCAGUGGUAAAAUUCCUCAAGAGUUGACUUCUCUUCCAGAGUUGGGAACACUUCUGCUUGAUGGCAAUCGGCUUUCUGGGAGUCUGCCAUCAAGCAUAAUCUCAUGGAAGGGGUUAAAUGUCUUGAGCUUCAGUAACAACGAGCUUUCUGGCCAAAUACCUGCAGCAAUUGGCCUUUUACCUGUCCUUAAUGCCUUGGACUUGUCAGAAAAUGACUUCUCAGGUCAAAUUCCAGCUCAAAUUGGGCUUCUAAGGUUAAAUUCCCUCAACCUCUCUUCCAAUCGCCUCUCUGGUAGAAUACCUGGUGAAUUUGAAAAUGCAGCUUUUGACAGAAGUUUCUUGGGUAAUGCUGGUCUUUGUUCACGUAAUCCAUCUUUAGGCCUUAACGCCUGUGCUUCCCAUACCCGGGAGUCAAACAAGCUUUCAGCAAAAUUUGUCGCAGCUGUUUCAAGUAUAGCCGCAUUUGGCUUUUUAGUGGCUUUAGUAUACACAUUCUUUUUGAUCAGAGGUUACAAGAAGAAAAAACAGGGAUUGGAUUCAACUUGGAAAUUAACCUCAUUUCAGAAGUUGAAUUUCACUGCACCAUCCCUUCUAUCAAGCUUGACAGAAAGCAAUAUGAUUGGAAGUGGAGGUUCAGGAAAUGUCUAUCGUGUUCCAAUUAAUAGUUCAGGUGCAUAUGUUGCUGUUAAGAAGAUUUGCAACAGCAAAAGGUUGGAUCACAAAGAAUUUCUUGCAGAAGUUGAGAUUUUGGGCACUAUUCGACACUCCAACAUUGUGAAGUUAAUGUGUUGCAUCUCAACGGAUAGUUCGAAGUUACUGGUCUACGAGUAUAUGGAAAAUCGUAGUUUGGAUCGUUGGCUUCAUUGCAAGAGGAACCGGUCUGCUAACACAGGUUCAAUCCACCAUAUUGUCCUGGAGUGGCCUAAGAGGUUGCAGAUUGCAAUUGAUGCUGCUCGAGGGCUCUGCUAUAUGCACCAUGACUGCUCACCAUCUAUAAUUCACCGAGAUUUAAAAUCAAGCAACAUUUUGCUAGAUUCUGAAUUCAAUGCAAAAAUUGCAGAUUUUGGUCUGGCUAGGAUGUUAGUGAAGGAUGGAGAGCCCAACACAAUGUCAGUUGUAGCCGGCUCAUUCGGAUACAUUGCUCCUGGUACGUGGUAUUGUAAUUUGUCAAAUGUAUUUGAUUUUUUUUUAUAUAAUUUUUUUGUCGAAAGGGGGAUUAUUUGAUUAUGAUCACUUUAAAUACUACCAAACUCAACUUAGUUGUUCUGUUUCUUGAUUUUGUAUUGCAGAGUAUGCUCAGACAAGAAGAGUGAAUGAGAAGGUUGAUGUGUAUAGCUUUGGGGUCAUCCUUCUGGAACUGGUUACUGGAAGAGAAGGCAAUUACGGUGAUGAGACUUCAUCGCUUGCAGAAUGGGCGUGGCGUCACUUUCAAGAAGGGAAACCAAUAAUUGAUGCCUUCGACGAGGACAUAAUGGAGCCUUGUUACUUAGAUGAGAUAGCCAACGUGUUCAAACUCGGUAUUUUCUGUACCGGAUUGGUGCCCUCGAACCGCCCUACAAUGAGGGACGUUUUACAAAUUUUGCUCCGCUCUGUUCAUUCAGUGCCAAUGGGAGAAAAGAAUGGCAGGAGUGAGUGUGAUUUUGCCCCCCUUCUUAACAACUCAAAGCGUGAGAAGUCGUUGAUCGACGAAGAUGGCGGCUUCGACUCAAUGGUCUGAUAAAGCUUGAAAAUGUAACCAUCAGGUGGUUGAUCCACAAAGUUGGGAAAUCGAUGAAGGUUCUGAACCAAGCAACAGAAGCAGGCUAAGGAGAUUGGAGCGGGUUCAUGGGGGCACGGCUGCAUGAGUUAGCUUAUACUAGUUGUCUAGAAUUAGGAGAUACAUGGUGUUUUCAAACUGUAAUUGGUGUACAAGUAGGGAAAGUAAAGCUUAUUAUAGCAAGCAUUUCCACAGCUCGUAUGAAAACGGCUGGCAGUCACUGCAGCUGCUACGAAGCAGCAUUCGUUUUUGGUGUCUACAAGUUUCGGAUCAAUAUAUGUAUAGUCUUUAAAUGGAUAUAGUCUAGCAACACGACUAGGAAAAAUGGGUUGACAGAUUAUGUAGUAAUUUAUGUAUAGAUUGCUUAAAACAACCUCAGAAAAACUUGAUGAAGCCUAGUACUAAAACUGCUACUCACUUCAUGUGGAUCUCCAUCAAGUCCGUUUAAUAUGUUGCGCAGGACUUUAUUUGAUCCAAAGAGUAUCAUCUACAUGUGCACUAUACCUAAUCUUGAAUGCCCAAAUGAUCUUACAACAAAGCCUUAACUUUAAGACACUACUCUUAAGCCAAAGAGGGAGGGGGGGAAUUACUAACAAAAAUACGAAGACAUUGUCUCAGUUACGGGCCAGAAAUCUAGAGGCACACGGGUCCAUGGCUCAGUUUGGAGCUCUGCUAGACC